AGGGCGUAGGCUUACUGCAGUAAACUAUCGAAUGGAUCAAACAAGAGGAUAAAAUGGAUGACACAUUGAAUGUAGAUCGAAGACCAAGUUUCGAAGUAGAUUAUAGGUUAGCUAACAGUGCAGUAAUGUACAGUACUACUGAACUAGUAACGUAAUCAUAAAGACUCCUCAAAUUUUAAUACAGUAUGUGUACCCUAAAUAUGUUUUUGACUAUUGCUACUACUAGUACUAGAACUAGGCUAGACUUCGUAGCUUUGUCGUCUUGAGUUGUAAUUGUAUGCCUGAAUUGAACACAAAGCGUAAAGGUCACAACUUUCUAAGGAGCACGUGUUUAUUGCGUCUUUACGUGGCUCAAAUAUUUAAGUUCCUUUCCCCACACAGCUGAUGCAACGAUAUGUCUAGAAAGAAACUCAACCUACAGAUGGCGCUAAGAUAAACACGGUCUUCUGAACACAUGCAGUGGCUUGUCCCAGUGUAUGACGUCAACAAGCGAGAUAAACGCAUGUCAAGACUGUGUGUGUAAAUAUGUUCGUCGUUUUAGCUGAAGAUUAAGCAUUGAUUGAUAGCCUACAACAUACUAAAUACCCGAAAUUUUGUGACCACAUUACACCCAUAAAGGUUUUAAUAGGUAAUGCAGAAAACUUUAUUACAAACUUAACAUUGUAUAACGUUUGGAGAAUGGUUUGGUUAUCAUCAGUUUUCUUCAUUAACCAUUCAAGCCAUCUUCAAACUUUAAUAUUUCAAAGUGGAUUUUUCGUCAUCACAUUACAUCUACUUAAAAAGAGAAGUUGGAAAUAUAGGAUCAUGUAUGCAAUAAAUCGGAAAGGGGCUUCUCUUUCUGGCCACCUAACUGUUAAUCAAUCUUAUUAUUCCUGUUUCCCAACAUUGUUUUGAAUCUUUAAACUGUAAUUUUGCGUACUAAUCUUCUAAAAUUCUUAACCAAUCAAAUCCCGUCUACCGAUAAAGAGAAGUACAAUAUACACUAUCAUGUAUAAAAUACAGUGGGCAGGUGGCUUACUUUCGGAAUACCCAACUUUAAACAAUAGAUCAUUCCAAUUAUCAUACGUUAUAUUGGAUUUUAAACUGUAACUUUGCAUACUAAUCAUCUAUAGGUUCUACAAGUAAUAUUUGUUUAAGUUGUCACCCAUCAAAGGAACAGUUUUGAUAAAUACGUAAGGAAGUUUCUUAUUAUAUCAUUUUGAAGAAAGGGAUAAAAACUUUCACAAUAAAUAAUGUCAUGGUGAUUAUUUUUUAUUAUGA